rnacentral:lncRNA from 1 species
GGACUGGCUGCUCAAACUCCACAAUUUAAUGAAAAAUCUCAGAUGAUGACUCAGAAAACCUCUAAUGAUCUGAGGAAUAUAUUAAGGGAUUCCAGAGUCAAAGGCUGAUCAUGGAGGGCAUUGAUGAGGGAAGACUUCAGACCGAGUUGCGCUCUUGUCGCCGAAAAUGCAGUGCAAUGGCAUGAUCUCGGCUGACUGCAACCUCUGCCUCCUGGGUUCAAGCGAUUCUCCUGCCUCAGCCUCCCAAGUAGCUGGAACUAUAGCACGUUUUUCAGCACCAGGACAAGCAUCAUUGCUCAAGGAGAGCUUGGUUGACAACAGGAAGUUAGAAGGAGUCUGAAUUGUAACAAGUGUGGCAAGAGCACCAAGAUCACUGUGUGUGUGUGUUCACAGAAAAUGUACCAAAGGGAGAAGCCUUAAAAACAAAUGGCAGGUGUGGGCACCAGAAAAUCAACACAUCGGGAAGAGAAAAAUGGCAUGGUUUUACUGUAAUUGUAAAAAGACGCCCUAAAGAGUGUCUAUCGGAUCACCCUCAAGUUGGGUCAAACGGCUCCUCUUCUCGGCUUUUCGGGAGCAACCCUAUCUCAACAUUCACCAUCUUAAGAUGAGCAGACUGCAAGUUUGCCUCUCCCACCAGUAUGGGAGCUGCCGAAGCGGCAAGAACAGCGUUUCCGUCCAUCGAGCGCCAGGUCACCAGUCAGCUCCAGUCCUAUUUUGAGUUGAAGUAAAAGCUCCUCCCUA